rnacentral:rRNA from 1 species
UACAGAGACUGCAAGCGUUAUUCGGAAUCACUGGGCGUAAAGGGCGCGUAGGCGGCGCGGUAAGCGUGCGGUGAAAGCCCGGGGCUCAACCCCGGGUCGGCCGUGCGGACUGCCGGGCUGGAGCACUGUAGAGGCAGGUGGAAUUCCGGGUGUAGCGGUGGAAUGCGUAGAGAUCCGGAAGAACACCGGUGGCGAAGGCGGCCUGCUGGGCAGUGGCUGACGCUGAUGCGCGACAGCGUGGGGAGCAAACAGG